rnacentral:rRNA from 1 species
AUAUAGGUGAGAGACCGAUAGCAAACAAGUACCGUGAGGGAAAGAUGAAAAGAACUUUGGAAAGAGAGUUAACAGUACGUGAAAUUGUUGGAAGGGAAACGCAUGCAGUGAUACUUGCUAUUCGGGGCAACUCGAUUGGCAGGCCCGCAUCAGUUUUUCGGGGCGGAAAAGCGUAGAGAGAAGGUAGCAAUUUCGGUUGUGUUAUAGCUCUUUACUGGAUUCGCCCUGGGGGACUGAGGAACGCAGCGUGCUUUUAGCAAUUCCUUCGGGAAUUCCACGCUUAGGAUGCGGGUUUAUGGCUGUAUAUGACCCGUCUUGAAACACGGACC